ensembl:lncRNA
UGGAAAUAUUAGCACGAAGGGCCUUGCAUCACCAAUUUCCUUCUCUGGGAACGUAGGGGAAUACCAUUACCUGAUUGGUUUACAAGCAGUUCGCUUUGCUCGUGCUGACAAGAGCGUGCACACCAACGGAGAACAUUCAGCUGAAAGCCCCCCUGGACUUUGCGAUUUAACUGACUGAAUUUGGAUGUGUGGAUGAUUUUGAGGUGAGGAGACUGACAAGGCUGAAGGUAAAGUGGUCCACCGUUAUAUCAAUAAUGCUCAACUAGAAGUUAACACUAAUACAAACAUCAUUUUUGCAGAAUGAGUGUGUUAGGGGAGAAGGACGCAGCCAUAGUUAAACAGCUGGAUGCUGGCUUGAAAUGCAGCUGGAACUGGUCGUGGCUAAAACUUGAAGGCAAGGUCUCAGUGAAAGGGCAAGAGGUGUCCUUUCAUCUAGGAGAUGUAUUCAACAAAAUCAACAGGCAGGGAUUCGCCAGAUGCAUUCUCUGCCACAAAGAUAUCAAUUAUGCUAACAAAGGCAGCCAUGCUCUGCAGGCUCACUGCCAGACGGAAGUUCACAAGAAGAGGGUGCAGAUGAUAGUUUCCACUCAUAGUGUUGCCAGCACCUUCCUUCCAGCAUCAGCUAGCCAGAGUCCAGCAAACCAGAAUCAAGCAAGCCAGGGGCCAGAAACAACCAGGCAGCAGUGCCAGGGAAAGAUCCCCGUACCAGUUAUAAACCGCAUAGCAAAUGCAGAGGCAAUGGUCCUUGGAACCUUGGCGGAGCAUUCAAUGCCGUUUUCUAAGGCUCCUGUAAUUGUUGAGCUUUCCCAGACCCUUUCCUUAGAUAAACCAGCGUUGCAGGGAAUCAAGCUGUCGCGGACGGCAGUUUCAUACGAGAUGAUCCAUGGUCUAGGGCAGACUUACUCUGAGAGGACCUUUUCCAACAUGAAGAGAUUUCCCUUUUCGUUAUAUUUAGACGAGAGUACCUCCAACAACAACAAAAAGGUCCUCUCCAUGCUCGUUUGCUACUAUCAUGCAGACUUGAGGAAGAUGAUAGUGGAGCAUUUUGGGUCCUUGGAGAUAGUGAAGGUAAAUGCUGCUUCUUUAGAGAAGAUGCUCUGUGAGUUCUUUGAGAAAAACAACAUCCCCUGGAAUAACCUUGUGAGUAUGCUGAUGGACUCGUGUGCUGUGAUGAGGGGCAGCAAGACCGUCCUCGAGACCAGGAUGCACCAAUACUGUCCCAACCUGCUCGAUGUUGAUGGGGACUCCUGUCAUCACAUACACAAUGCGGCAAAGAAGUUCUCAGUCCUUUGACAGCUACUUGGAGAAACUGUUCAGUGAUCUCCAGGUUGACCAUCAGUGGAGUCCAGACCAGGUGAAGUACCUCAAGGAGAUAGCUAUGAUUCUAAAUCUCCCCGCCUCCAGCUCACAGAGGGGCUUUGUUCCUCAUCGCUGGCUGUCUGCAAAUGCCAUGCCAUGAUGCCUGCGUUCAAAGCCCCCUAUGAUGGCUACCUCUCCACUGCAGAUAAGGAGCUGUAUAGGGAUCCUUUGGAACUGGUUUACACCAAGUACCACGUCAACCAGGCGGCAAGAGCCAGUAUCAAGGUGGUUCAGGAGGAACUCAACAGGAAAGGCAUGACUCCACAAGGCCGUGAGAGAAAAAAGAGGGUAUGUCAGAAGCUGUUGCAUGAGGAGACGACAACAGUCCUACGGCUCAGCAUCUACAUGGGUGUGCUGGCUAUUCUCAAGGAGUAUAUCAUGGUUUUCCAGCUGUCUCCCAGGGCUCUGAGGGAGAUGGUCCUCGAGGAUCAUAUGCUGCUGCCCUCCAAGGAGGUCUAUGUGGGACAGGAGGCUGACACGUUCAGGAGCCAGAAUCCCAAUCAUGCUCUAAGUACCCUGCAUUACCUGCAUGACUUUUUUUCACUCUGUGAGACUUAAAAUAAUGGUCAGUUUUUGGUGUUUUGUGUCAGCUGUUGGUGCCAUUCCUAGCAGACGUCAGGAAAGCCUACAUCACCACUGCAGUGUACCUCCAGAAGAAGCUCCCCUUGGCUAGUCCGACUCUGACAGCCCUGUCUGCUCUGGACCCUCUUCUGAGAGGCCACUCACAGGCAACCAUCCAGUUGAAGAGACUGAGUGGUAUGCUGAGGCACCUCUUGCCAGCAGACCAGGACAUCCAGAGAGAACUUGUGCGGUUCAAUGUUGACCUGACCGUCCCCAGUUUCAAGGAGGGAGAGAGCAUCGUGGAGUGGUGGGGUCAUGUCUUUGACAAGCCAGAUAAGUACCCGUCCCUGAGUGCGAUGGUUAAAUGUUGCCUCUCCAUCUUUCACGGACCAAGAGUUGAGUCUGCUUUUAGUUUGAUGAAUGAUGUAAUAGACCAAAGGAGUGGCAACAUGAAUGUACCAACAUUUGACGCCAUCCAGACGGUCAAGUACACCCUGCAGUCCAGGGGGAAGACAGCCAUGCAGCUCUUCAGAAGGGAGGAUGUGAAGUUCGGGGAGGUGGACAGAACACUGCAAGAACAUCAACUCUGCAGCAGCCACAUACAAACGCCAGCAGAAGAUGAAUCAGAAAGAAAAGCAGCAGCAGCAGAGCAAGUAUGGCUCCCAAGCAUCUGGCAGUGCUCAGGAGGCCAAGAAACAGACUGCUGAAGUAGAGAAAAGGGCAAGGAUGAGACAUGUGGCAAAACAGCGAAAGCGGGCCAUGAAGACACUGGUGGUCCAGGCAAAGAAAAAAAAAAGAUUUUUUUAUGAUCUGUAAUGUAAAUUUUCUUUGCCAA